GACGAACGCUGGCGGCGUGCUUAACACAUGCAAGUCGAACGGAAAGGCCCUGCUUUUGUGGGGUGCUCGAGUGGCGAACGGGUGAGUAACACGUGAGUAACCUGCCCUUGACUUUGGGAUAACUUCAGGAAACUGGGGCUAAUACCGGAUAGGAGCUCCUGCUGCAUGGUGGGGGUUGGAAAGUUUCGGCGGUUGGGGAUGGACUCGCGGCUUAUCAGCUUGUUGGUGGGGUAGUGGCUUACCAAGGCUUUGACGGGUAGCCGGCCUGAGAGGGUGACCGGCCACAUUGGGACUGAGAUACGGCCCAGACUCCUACGGGAGGCAGCAGUGGGGAAUAUUGCACAAUGGGCGGAAGCCUGAUGCAGCAACGCCGCGUGCGGGAUGACGGCCUUCGGGUUGUAAACCGCUUUCGCCUGUGACGAAGCGUGAGUGACGGUAAUGGGUAAAGAAGCACCGGCUAACUACGUGCCAGCAGCCGCGGUGAUACGUAGGGUGCGAGCGUUGUCCGGAUUUAUUGGGCGCAGAGGGCUCGUAGGUGGUUGAUCGCGUCGGAAGUGUAAUCUUGGGGCUUAACCCUGAGCGUGCUUUCGAUACGGGUUGACUUGAGGAAGGUAGGGGAGAAUGGAAUUCCUGGUGGAGCGGUGGAAUGCGCAGAUAUCAGGAGGAACACCAGUGGCGAAGGCGGUUCUCUGGGCCUUUCCUGACGCUGAGGAGCGAAAGCGUGGGGAGCGAACAGGCUUAGAUACCCUGGUAGUCCACGCUGUAAACGGUGGGUACUAGGUGUGGGGUCCAUUCCACGGGUUCCGUGCCGUAGCUAACGCUUUAAGUACCCCGCCUGGGGAGUACGGCCGCAAGGCUAAAACUCAAAGGAAUUGACGGGGCCCCGCACAAGCGGCGGAGCAUGCGGAUUAAUUCGAUGCAACGCGUAGAACCUUACCUGGGUUUGACAUGGAUCGGGAGCGCUCAGAGAUGGGUGUGCCUCUUUUGGGGUCGGUUCACAGGUGGUGCAUGGCUGUCGUCAGCUCGUGUCGUGAGAUGUUGGGUUAAGCCCCGCAACGAGCGCAACCCUUGUUCACUGUUGCCAGCACGUUAUGGUGGGGACUCAGUGGAGACCGCCGGGGUCAACUCGGAGGAAGGUGGGGAUGACGUCAAGUCAUCAUGCCCCUUAUGUCCAGGGCUUCACGCAUGCUACAAUGGCUGGUACAGAGAGUGGCGAGCCUGUGAGGGUGAGCGAAUCUCGGAAAGCCGGUCUCAGUUCGGAUUGGGGUCUGCAACUCGACCUCAUGAAGUCGGAGUCGCUAGUAAUCGCAGAUCAGCAACGCUGCGGUGAAUACGUUCCCGGG
rnacentral:rRNA from 1 species